rnacentral:rRNA from 1 species
GGGCUAGCCUCAAGUGAUGAUUAUUGGAGGUAGAGCACUGUUUGGACGAGGGGCCCCUCUCGGGUUACCGAAUUCAGACAAACUCCGAAUGCCAAUUAAUUUAACUUGGGAGUCAGAACAUGGGUGAUAAGGUCCGUGUUCGAAAGGGAAACAGCCCAGACCACCAGCUAAGGUCCCAAAAUAUAUGUUAAGUGGAAAAGGAUGUGGCGUUGCCCAGACAACUAGGAUGUUGGCUUAGAAGCAGCCAUCAUUUAAAGAGUGCGUAAUAGCUCACUAGUCGAGUGACACUGCGCCGAAAAUGUACCGGGGCUAAACAUAUUACCGAAGCUGUGGAUUGUCCUUUGGACAAUGGUAGGAGAGCGUUCUAAGGGCGUCGAAGCAUGAUCGCAAGGACAUGUGGAGCGCUUAGAAGUGAGAAUGCCGGUGUGAGUAGCGAAAGACGGGUGAGAAUCCCGUCCACCGAUUGACUAAGGUUUCCAGAGGAAGGCUCGUCCGCUCUGGGUUAGUCGGGUCCUAAGCUGAGGCCGACAGGCGUAGGCGAUGGAUAACAGGUUGAUAUUCCUGUACCACCUAGUAUCG